ensembl:lncRNA LINC00649 long intergenic non-protein coding RNA 649
GAAGAUGAUGUCUGCGGCCACCAAACUGUCCACUGUGAAGACAAACCAUGCAUGUUUAGUAGGCAGUGGCUCCUCUUCCCUGUGGGGAGUCCCACUGCUUCCCUGGCCUGGGUGUUCUCUGCCGUGCCUUUGGACACUUCUUCGGAAAAGCACAUGAACUCUUCGGAGUCUCCUGUUCCACUUGGUAAAUUUCCUAUAGCCACGCACUGAAAGUCCCUGCUGCCCUCCUUCCUCUGAGCUUGUGGGGCCCACAGAUCCCCUGCUCCACUUCCUGCUUCAUUUCAGCUGAUGGAUGACACUCCCUCGUUCUAAUACCAUCUGAAUGCCUGAGCAAUUACAUCUUACAACCUCAUGAAAAACACAGCAGCUUGUCACGAUGAAUGAUGUUACCGUGAAUAAUGCAGUUUUGAGUUCAAACUCCUUCUUAUUCCAAGAAUGAGUAAAUAUCCCUAUUCCCUCCCCUCCCCAUUGCAUUUGGGUUUGACAUGACAUGAAUCAUUGUGGUUUUACUCCUGGGUAGAAUUGUUUUUCUGUAUUGCAUUGCCAAUUGAUGGAAGGACAAAAAAAGGAAACUUACCAAUGAGCAGUUUCAGAUGAACUUAAAUUCUCAGAAAUCUUGAAGAAUGAAUGAACUAUAACUUUCUGAAGUUGCAAAAAUGUUCAAGUCGGAAGUGACCCAUGGGAAGCAACCUGGUCCUUAAUUAGGACUGGAAAGAAAACGGAGGCCCAGCGAGGGAACAGUGGCUUCCCCAAGGUCACACUGCAAGUGAGUGGUGGCACUAGUCACCCAGGAGUCCUCCUGACUCCAUGGUAUCCUGACCCCAGACCAGCAGCCUUAUUUGUGGUUAAAGAACGUGGAAAAACAGCUUAUGUUUGAAUUUUAAAAUCAUGCCAGUACUAAAGAUCUGCAUUCCAUGAAUAUUGAGCUUUGCUGUGUGCGGGUUGCUACGAAUUUUGUAACUAUUUUCUCUAAGAGCUCUCAGUAUUUUACAUAUACAAUUCCAUUCUUUAUUGUCCAGGGAAAAAGUUGCAUUUACUGAGCAGUAAGAGGGUGAUUUGAAGUCCCUGGGGUCCCCCACCCUUGUCUUUCUAUGUGAGAUUGUAUUGCAGGGCUCACAUUUAUUCUCUCAGCAGCUCAUUGCACAGACAGUGUAUUUAUUGAGCACCUACUGUGUGCCAGGAGCUAUGUGGUAAGCUAAGCAGACAAAAACUCCUGCUCUCACAAGAAGAAAGAAUAAACAAGCAGACAAUUGCACCUAUAAUGUCA